rfam:Streptomyces sp. NRRL B-1568 contig-74, whole genome shotgun sequence.
CUUCACCGACCCCAGCCACAGCGGCCGUUCGGGGUCGCGCUCCUCCCCGUAGGUGGCGAGCAGCGCCUGCGCCUC